GUCUCGUUAGCUCAGUCGGUAGAGCAUCUCACUUUUAAUGAGGGGGCCCUAGGUUCGAAUCCUAGACGGGACA
rfam:Sulfurovum sp. AS07-7 Sequence0000001545, whole genome shotgun sequence.